ACGCUCGACACCUACGGGAGGCAGCAGUGGGGAAUAUUGCACAAUGGGGGAAACCCUGAUGCAGCGACGCCGCGUGAGCGAAGAAGUAUUUCGGUAUGUAAAGCUCUAUCAGCAGGGAAGAAACUGACGGUACCUGACUAAGAAGCACCGGCUAAAUACGUGCCAGCAGCCGGGUAAUCUGAGCGGGCUGGCAAGGC
rnacentral:rRNA from 1 species